rnacentral:rRNA from 1 species
AACGCGAAGAACCUUACCAAGGUUUGACAUCCUGCGAAGGUUUUCGAAAGAAGACUGUGCCUUUUGGAAUGCAGUGACAGGUGAUGCAUGGCCGUCGUCAGCUCGUGUCGUGAGAUGUUUGGUUAAGUCCAUCAACGAGCGCAACCCUUAUAGUUAGUUGAUUUUUCUAGCUAGACUGCCCUGGUAACAGGGAGGAAGGAGGGGAUGAUGUCAGGUCCGUAUUUCCCUUACACCUUGGGCUACAAACACGCUACAAUGGCCGGUACAAAGGGCUGCCAAGUCGCGAGACGGAGCAAAUCCCAUCAAAACCGGUCUCAGUUCGGAUUGUAGGCUGAAACUCGCCUACAUGAAGCCGGAAUCGCUAGUAACGGUAGGUCAGCAUUACUACCGUGAAUACGUUCCCGGGCCUUGUACACACCGCUCGCGA